CAACCCCUGGUCCUUCAACAACGCCUAAACCCACUCAUCCACCAGCUUUGUCACAGAUAAGUAUGUCCACAUCAAAGUCAGGAGACAAGGAUGGAUGUGAAUGCAUUGUUUUGUAUGUCGUGUUAGGAGUUAGCUUAGUAUUCAAUGUGGUACUGAUCGUCCUGUACGUAAGGCUCAAGUGUGGACAAUGGCCCAAUAAGAUGGGUA